CUGGCGGGUGGAGAACGGCCUGCCCGGGGCCCUGGGGGCGCUCGGCGUGCUGCUGCUGUUCCGGUUCGCCACCGCCUGG
rnacentral:tRNA from 1 species